rnacentral:piRNA from 1 species
UCAUAUUGCAACAACCAAGCCUACACGC